AAAAACUACCCUCAGCCUGCGCGCCGCCACCGCCCUCAUGCUGGGCGCCGCUCUCCGCCGCUGCGCUGUGGCCGCCACCACCUGGGCCGGCCCUCGAGGCCUGCUGCACUCCGCCCGGACCCCCGGCCCCGCCGCGGCUAUCCAGUCAGUUCUCUGCUGUUCUCAUGGGUCACAUGAGACAGAUGAGGAGUUUGAUGCUCGCUGGGUAACAUACUUCAACAAGCCAGAUGUAGAUGCCUGGGAAUUGCGUAAAGGGAUAAACACACUUGUUACCUAUGAUCUGGUUCCAGAGCCCAAAAUCAUUGAUGCUGCUUUGCGGGCAUGCAGACGGUUAAAUGGUUUUGCUAGUACAGUUCGUAUCCUAGAGGCUGUUAAGGACAAAGCAGGACCUCAUAAGGAAAUCUACCCCUAUGUCAUCCAGGAACUUAGACCAACUUUAAAUGAACUGGGAAUCUCCACUCCGGAGGAACUGGGCCUUGACAAAGUGUAAACCCCAUGGAUGGGCUUCCCCAUGGAUUUAUUGACAUUGCGACUUGAGUGUGAAGUUUCCUGGAAAUACUGAUGAUAACAUAUUACCUUAUUUGAACAAGUUUUCCUUUAUUGAGUACCAAGCCAUGUAAUGGUAACUUGGACUUUAAUAAAAGGGAAAUGAGUUUGACCUGAAA